GACGCGCCGGGGCUGGACCCCGCUGCGCCCCCGGGCAGGGCCGGGACGGGAAGGAGCCUCGGCCCGGGAGUCUGGAGACGCGGCUCCCCGGCGUCGGCCCUGAGCCCCGUUCCCCAGGCCCUGCCUCCAGCCUUGCUCUUCGCAGCGCACGUCCCCGGGGGGCGCGGGCGCGGCGCGGUGCGGAGAAGGCCCGCAGGUGCGUUGGGAAGCCGGCGAUGACCAGGGAGUCGGCUGCGCUGGGCAGAAUUCUAAAGGGGUUUAAAAUCAGAAGGACGGGCUUUGAAUACAGAAAGUGGGUGACUAUGAAGGUCAACGACGAGGCUGGGGGUGGGGGAGAACAGGAACCCCUGUUACCUUCCUAUUGCUGCUGGAACAAAUUACCAUAAAUAUAGUGACUUAAUACA